AGGCCCGUAGGCUAACGGCAAACCGCCCGCCUCCAGAGCGGGAUUUGGGGGUUCGAAUCCUCCCGGGCCUGCCA
rnacentral:tRNA from 1 species